CCUCGCGCCGCCACUUUCCAAAUCCCACAUCGGGAUCCUCCCUGAUCCCCUCGUCCACUUUGUUUUCCCCGUCGCUCGAAUCAGGGCCUCCCCUGCCUUCCCGAUCCAUCCAUCCAUCCAACCAUCAGCCAGCCACAGCGCCUCCCUGCUCGAUCGUGUGCUCGAGGCGCCCGAGCACCUCGUGCUUCUCCUCGUCGCCAGAGACGAGCACCAGGACCAGGCCGUCCCCGCACCGUGCCCCUGCCUCUCCCUUCUUCUUCCUUCCCUCCUCCUUCUCUCACAUGCUCUCUCUAUUCAUGCAACAGGGAGCCAGCGAGGAGUUUGCGCCGGCCAUCCUCGCCUCUCGCGCCCGGAGGUCGUCGUCCUUGAGCUCCUCAACCCGUUCCCGCCUACCUCGUUUCCGGACCCAAGCCAUGGCUGCCGCCAAGUUCAUCGGGAUGCUGCUGCUUCCCACCACCCGGACCCGGCCUGGAGUCGGCGCCCUCGGCCGUUUUCCCCGCCGUCUCCGACAACCACGAGAACCUCCUCGUCCCCGCCGCUGCCUCGCUGGAGGGUUCGUGCCGUCUGAUGCCAUCGUCGUUUGCAAACUCAAUCGCCACCUUCGCCGCCAUCCGUGAAACCCGACGAAGCCAAUCACCAGGACCCGCAGAAGCCAUCUCCGGUGACUGGCCGACGAGCCCGUUGCCGGAGCUGUCGCCGCCGCUGCAGUUCGUCCUCCUGCAACACGCUGCCCCUUGCGGCAUGCUCGCGCGUCCCCCACCGCGGCCUCCCUAGCAGGUUUCCGCAUCCCCGCAGGCCCUCUACAACCACAGCAGCAGUUGUUGUUCGCUCCCGUCGCCGGAGAAUCCCCGUGCGCCCGCUUCAGAUCCGUUCGACUACGUCCGUUUGUCUUCUUCAUGGACUCGUUCUUCUUGCUUGCGGGA